UACGUAGGGUGCGAGCGUUGUCCGGAAUUAUUGGGCGUAAAGAGCUCGUAGGCGGCUUGUCGCGUCGGAUGUGAAAGCCCGGGGCUUAACUCCGGGUCUGCAUUCGAUACGGGCAGGCUAGAGUUCGGUAGGGGAGAUCGGAAUUCCUGGUGUAGCGGUGAAAUGCGCAGAUAUCAGGAGGAACACCGGUGGCGAAGGCGGAUCUCUGGGCCGAUACUGACGCUGAGUAGCGAAAGCGUGGGGAGCGAACAGG
rnacentral:rRNA from 1 species